UACGGAGGGGCUAGCGUUGUUCGGAAUUACUGGGGCGUAAAGCGCACGUAGGCGGCUUUGUAAGUUAGAGGUGAAAGCCCGGAGCUCAACUCCGGAAUUGCCUUUAAGACUGCAUCGCUCGAAUCCAGGAGAGGUGAGUGGAAUUCCGAGUGUAGAGGUGAAAUUCGUAGAUAUUCGGAAGAACACCAGUGGCGAAGGCGGC
rnacentral:rRNA from 1 species